AUCAAUCGGAAGUUGUCAGAUUCGUUUAAUGUGUGAUUGGGUUCGUGUUCCUCAUACUCAUUUCAAAUGAAGAGAUAUUUUUCAAUGUUUGCCUCUUUCAUUGUGCGCAUAUCAGCAAUGACCAGUGAUCGCAGUCAACGUGGGUCUAUCUGUUAUGCAGGAUACGCCUGGAGCGAAGAUAAAGCCAUUUGUGAGAAAUGUCCAAUUGGUUUCCAAAACAUAAAUUG